rnacentral:rRNA from 1 species
GUGAGGAAUAUUGGUCAAUGGGCGGGAGCCUGAACCAGCCAAGUCGCGUGAAGGAAGACGGUUCUAUGAAUUGUAAACUUCUUUUGUGCAGGAAUAAAGUGGGUUACGUGUAACCUUUUGUAUGUACUGUACGAAUAAGGAUCGGCUAACUCCGUGCCAGCAGCCGCGGUAAUACGGAGGAUCCGAGCGUUAUCCGGAUUUAUUGGGUUUAAAGGGUGCGUAGGUGGAUUGAUAAGUCAGCGGUGAAAGUUUGCAGCUUAACUGUAAAAUUGCCGUUGAAACUGUCGGUCUUGAGUGCAAAUGAGGUAGGCGGAAUGUGUUGUGUAGCGGUGAAAUGCUUAGAUAUAACACAGAACUCCGAUUGUGAAGGCAGCUUACUGGGAUGCAACUGACACUGAUGCACGAAAGCGUGGGUAUCAAACAGGAUUAGAAACCCCGGUAGUCC